UACGUAGGUGGCGAGCGUUGUCCGGAAUUACUGGGCGUAAAGGAUGCGUAGGUGGAUAGUUAAGUGGGAUGUGAAAUCCCCGGGCUCAACCCGGGAACUGCAUACCAAACUGGUUAUCUAGAGUGUAGGAGAGGAAAGUAGAAUUCAUAGUGUAGCGGUGAAAUGCGUAGAUAUUAUGAGGAAUACCAGUGGCGAAGGCGACUUUCUGGACUAUAACUGACACUGAGGCAUGAAAGCGUGGGUAGCAAACAGG
rnacentral:rRNA from 1 species